UGGUGCACAACUGGCGAUUCGAUAUGGUGGUGUUGGUUGUAGGAAUCGUGGCAGCGAUGGCACUAGUGGUGGAUGGCGAUAAUAGUGAUUUUGGAUUUGCCAUGGUUUUUGAUCCAUCAUGGUUUUGCUUGAUUUUUGUUUAUUGGUGAUGAUUUUUUCCAUGGUGUGGUAAUGUUGGGAUGGGUUUAUUGACGGUAGUGGUGGUGGAUUGAGCACUACUGAUGGUGGAUCUAGAGUUGGUGGAGAUGAAUUUGGCGAUGGUGGUGAUGAUGGUCGUGG
rnacentral:lncRNA from 1 species